rnacentral:tRNA from 1 species
GGUGUAGCUCAGUGGUAAGGCACUUUGCCUUGCAUGCAGAAGGUCCUGGAUUCAAUUCUCAGCACC